CACCGGGUAAAAGGACAGCAGCGUAAUGUACUGCCAGGUAAAGCCAGUGGCCGUGACCGAGGUGGCGAAGUGUCUGUCUGUCGCGCUGUGUCAUUAAUGUUUAACACUAAGGGACUGGAGUCACCGGACAUAUGAAAAGUCAUGUGAGAAACUGCACUUUACUGAACUGAAGAAAGACAACAUUCACAUCAGACAACGGGAGAGAUGGACAUGAAACAUCUAACGUGUUAGUUUAAAUGAAGACGCUUUGUUGUUUAAGGAGAUACACUUAGAACAAACUACACAAGUGGUGGGGAUGGGGAGAAUUCUGGGCUAUCUGCUGAUCGGCUCAGCACUCUGUAUGGGCGUGGUCAGUCUAACCCUAAGCUACACCUCCAGGGUCAGAGUUCACAAAGGGAGGAGCCUCACACUGCACUGCAUGAACACAACACAUGCAGGUGAGAUAACACACAAAAAAAGACUACCUUUUUGGAACGUCCCCGUACACCUGUUAUACUGGUGUGUGUGUAGGAGGGGUCCAGUACUGGCAGACCCCAUUCGGUCAGGUCCUGAACAGCAGUCUUCAUGCCAACCAGAAAGAUGUGGUUACUAUGCAACAAGAUGGUAGCCUGCAGAUCCACAUUGCCUCUCCUCACCACAGCAGCCUGUACUACUGCCUCCUACUGACCGGAGGACAAACUACACUCAUCCUACCUGCUGAGUGCCAGCAGUCCCAUGGUUUCUGACGGUGUGUUUGUGGAGGCGGUGACGGCAUCAGUAGUGGUGACGUUCCUGGUGGGGUUCAGCUCUGGAGCUCUAAGCAGGAGUCUACUGGACUUUAUCUACCUAUAUUAAAUAUUUAUUAAACUGUUCAGUAUUUUACUUCAUGUUAGAUGGUUCCUCAUCCUGAAAGUAGAAUAUAGGCCAGGAGAAACUAAAUCAUGGUUUUCUGAAAUUUUUGUUAUUGUUUAAAUAAAACCGAACCAUGCAUUAGUUUCUCUUGGCCCAUAGACUGCUUUCAGAGUGAAAGUAGUCUAGUUGUAAAACUCUGAACUUUCCAUUUAAACAUCAUCAACAAUAAAUACAGAUACAUUUUACCAGCACUCCUAAGGUGUGUGAAUUGGGUGCGGUCGCUAGGACAGGAACGUCGUAACCAUGGUGAAACAGUCAGCGUGGCAUUCCGGCAGGAUGUGGAACAAGAGGAUGACUCUGCCUCGACGACAAGCAUUAUCAUGGAUAAAGUCAGCCCAUCUCCACCGGCCAAAACUCAGAGAGGCUUCAGGGGGAAAAUGUCAUGAAGAGAACAGUACUUAUCCCCCGCCCCCUGGGCCAAGCAGUGCUCGCUGUCCCUCACCAGGCUCAACACCAUCAUGGCUGCUGCCAGCGCCGGCCCCCUCGACACCCAGAGCCCCCCGGGUAGAGACUCCGACCCCCAGGACUCAGACCCUGACGAAAGGGACACAGCCAGUCCAUCCCAGGGCCAGGAGAAACCAGUCUUUCAACUUGAGAUGUGACAUACAAGAUCUGGGCCUGUAUUCAUAAAGCGUAUGGCUGCUGAUAAAUUAUCCCAUCCUGACCGGUUCAUAUAAAUCUUAAUCAUUACGAAUUAAAAGGCAAAACUGUUUCUAGAUCAGCCCUCCUAGUCUUGAUAAAUGCAGCCCCUAAGCAGAAAGAUCAGGGUCAUGUUCAAUAGAGCAUACAGACACACCGUACCAAAAUGGUUUGGAACAGAAAACAAAAAUGAGUGUUUCUUACUGGAGAACUUUAACAGAUAGUGCCUUGCCAUUUCACUCCAUUGUAAAACAUUUACUCAAUCACAAAUUCCCAGACAAAUUUAAGAUUUUGACUUGUCAUCAAAUCCAGCGG
rnacentral:lncRNA from 1 species